AUUCCACGGGUCGUUAAUGUGUGAAUCAAACCUUUCACAUUUGCCCGUUGUGGAAUAUUUGUUUAAUGUCUUAUCCCUUUGGCAUCAUUGCUGUUGAUGCCACACCUCCUGGGGUUCCCCCCAGGAUCCCUAAUGACCAGCCUAUAGGGUAUUCUACGGGUCGUUACUGUGUGAAUCAAACCUUUCACGUUUGCCCUUUGUGGAAUACUUGUCUAAUGUCCCAUCCCUUUGGCAUCAUUGUUGUUGAUGCCACACCUCCUGGGGUUCCCCCCAGGAUCCCUAAUAACCAGAAGCUGUGGAAAUGCUAACAGGUUGUUUUCCUGAAAUGAAACAAACAAAGUCAGAUCAUGGUGCUCUACCUUUCAGUUAUUUAAUUAUUAUGUCACCCGUUUUAUUUAUGUUGUUCAAGAAGUCAUUACACUUCUGGGGGGUUGCUUUAUCUUAUUCUCGUAUGCAGGCUGGGUCAAACACUUAAAACAUGCUGGAGUUAGGAUGUAUUCUAGAAACCUAACGCCGUUUGAUUGUUAAAGAUUAAUUGCAGAGUUGUCCCUGUUUUUUUAUUUGAUUUCUACCUAUGUUUUCUUUGGGACGCUGGUUACUUUAGGUAUACCCUUCUUUAUCCACCGGGGCAAUAGAUACCCCUGGGGGUUACUCUUAAUGAGGCAGUUCAUGCAUUCUCGCCUGGAAGCCAAACUUGGCUUGAAUUUUUGGUUAGCUAGGCUCUUGCCUACACCUAGGCCAGUAGGUCACAGUGCUUCACUGUAACACACUUAUAAGCCAGGGUUAAUCCCUGACAUCAGCCUUACCCCCGGGGAGUCACUAAUAUUCAACCCCGGGGACCUGGUUUAUAAGAAAGGGAGGAGUGUAGUGAAUUGUGGCCUUUGAUCAGCGAUGGAAGGGGUCGCCGACCUGCAGAAGUGACGUCACCGAAGCAGCACGCGGGGAUUCCAGCCAACCAGCGUGAGUCGAGUCCCAGCAUUCAUACUGUCUAGACGUAUUUCUGUAUAUUCCGGCAUCGAUCUGCUCCAGCCUCGAGAAUAUCGGCUGUAAGUAGUGUUUUCUGUGUUCGUACUGUCCAUCCUUGUUAUCUGUUAAGCUUUAAAGCCAGAUAUCAUUGUAUUCUUGUAUUAUCGGCAUCCUGUAUAGUGAAAAAUCACAAUAGACCUAUUACGUCAUUUCAAAAACGGUGUAAAUUUGACAUCAAUUAUGCGGUAAAAUGCUUCUAUUUAUAUUAGUUUGGACGAUUCCCUGACGGUUUCAUGUAAUUAAUGUUGAAGCUGGAUAUGUAAACAACGCAUCAGAGUUGUGCAGUCCACCAUGCACUCUGGAUGUUGAGUAUCAUUAUUUAUGGGAUUUUGCACAGCAGGUACAUUAUCCGCAUCAUUCUCAACAGGUAGGGCCGAUUUAUUUCCGUACUCCAAGGAAGUGCCAUGUGUUUGGUGUAUGUGCAGAAGGAUCAGGCAAACAGACUUUUUAUUUAAUUGAUGAAAGUCAGUGCACUGGGAAAGGAGCAGAAAGUGUGACGUCCAUGACUCACCACUAUUUGCAGUUCUAUGGCAUAGGAGAGAAACAUGCACAGGUUGUAUUAUGCUAUAACUAUAUAUGUAAUAACUCUUUAUGUUUUAUUUUGGGCUGUAAGUUUACUGUUAUGAAGAAGCGACACCUGUUUGC